AAGUCGUAACAAGGUUUCCGUAGGUGAACCUGCGGAAGGAUCAUUACUAAAUAUCCUAAUUUAUUGGCUUUAAACCCCAAUAUAUGCACCUGUGAACUUUACCGUUUCUGACAGUGCGGCUUCUGUGAAUGUUUAAAAUUCCAGAAAAUGAGCUGUUGGUUAUUUCAUCUUUUAUUUGUAUUAAUUACUUAUCUUGUCGUAAACUAUUUGUGAAAAUGAAUAUAAUGUAACAACUUUUGUCAACGGAUCUCUUGGUUCUC
rnacentral:misc_RNA from 1 species